CGGGGGGGGCAAGCGUUGUUCGGAAUUACUGGGCGUAAAGGGCUAGUAGGUGGCCAACUAAGUCAGACGUGAAAUCCCUCGGCUUAACCGGGGAACUGCGUCUGAUACUGGAUGGCUUGAGUGUGGGAGAGGGACGCGGAAUUCCAGGUGUAGCGGUGAAAUGCGUAGAUAUCUGGAGGAACACCGGUGGCGAAGGCGGCGUCCUGGACCAAUACUGACACUGAAUAGCGAAAGCCAGGGGAGCAAACGGGAUUAGAUACCCCGGUAGUCCUGGCCCUAAACGAUGAAUGCUUGGUGUGACGGGUAUCGAUCCCUGUCGUGCCGAAGCUAACGCAUUAAGCAUUCCGCCUGGGGAGUACGGUCGCAAGGCUG
rnacentral:rRNA from 1 species